rnacentral:rRNA from 1 species
CCCCUAGAUGUUCUGGGCCGCACGCGCGCUACACUGACGAAUGCAACGAGCUUAUAACCUUGGCCGAAAGGUCUGGGUAAUCUCCAAAUUUCGUCGUGAUGGGGAUAGAUUAUUGCAAUUAUUAAUCUUCAACGAGGAAUGCCUAGUAAGCGCAAGUCAUCAGCUUGCGUUGAUUACGUCCCUGCCCUUUGUACACACCGCCCGUCGCUCCUACCGAUUGAAUGGUCCGGUGAAGCGUUCGGACCGUGGCCUUUGGACGGUUCGCCGUCUGUUGGCUGCGGGAAGUUCGUUAAACCUUAUCAUUUAGAGGAAGGAGAAGUCGUAACA